rnacentral:lncRNA from 1 species
AUGGAAGUUUUGUUCGCUGGAAUUGAGUGGAAUUGGAAUACGCGUUUCAUUCAAACCUGUUUGGAUUCAACCGAAUAAUAUGGAAUCUUCGAUUCUUGUAGCUGUCAACGUCACUACAUGUCUACACCGCUGCCACAACCACCACCAACAUUGCCACCAUCUACUGACAUACGGCGAUAGUUAUUGGUGGCCUCGAGGACUGUAGGGUAGUAGUGGCCCCCAUAAGGUGGUGAUAACGGUGAUAGAUUCCAAUUCUUUCAUGAUUUUUUUUAACCAUACCGAUAAAUUUAGUAUUUCAAGCCUUUUGAAAAUUUCAAUUUCAAAUACAAUAUUUUUUUUUUAAAUUUCAAUUCUCAGAUUCCAAUUAAUUAUAAAACCAAAUAUGUUGCAUUUUCUUAUACAUUCAUGUCAUGUAUAUUGCUAACGACUCGUGUUCACUUGUUGUGGAGAUUUCUCUAUGGUGGUAAUGACUUUUGAAUAAUUGUAAUUAAAGCACAAGCUUGGUGGUUGAUUCCAUCAUUCUUGAAAGCAAUCAUUUCCCCUGAGUGGUGGAUCCAGGAUGAGAUACCAAAUUUGAUUCUGAAGUUAUCUAUGUACCAGAAUCAUCAUAUGGGUUUGUUAGGAAUUUUACCCGAACACACCCAUGAAUAAUUAUAAGACAUGUAAUAAGUUCCUAAAUUAGGUGCUCCAUGAAACUUUGCUUCUCUUGGACCAUCAACCCCAAUGAUGUUCAUGCAUUCUAGUAACGUUCAGAUAAAACACAUAUGUGAUAAAGUUUAUUAUAAGAGGGGAAGGGGGGCUCACGGGUUCGUUGCAGCGGGGCAACACUGACGUGAUGCCACACUCUAGCCAUGCACGGUAGUCUGCCUAGCGGCAAACCUUUGCUGGAACGGGUUGUAUGUUUGGAGAGUAUAAAGUGGGUGUGAUUGGUGUGUGGAGUAAAAGGGUAAAGUCCAUGGUUCUAAGGUACUUGUGAGUAAGCGGCGCAAGUGUUUUGAUCGUUCUAAGAUAAUUGGGUGUAGAAUUGACAUGACAUCGCAAGAUUAGAUGGGGCUAGGAUAACACCCUUAGGUGCCUCUUCCACCCUAAUAUCAAAAGUUGUUUCAAGCUUUACAAAUAAAUCUAUAUUUGUGGAUUAUAAACAUUAAUUUCGAUGAAAGUAUUCUACAUAUUAACUAUGUUAGCUAUAGGCUUAAAUGAAAUAGAAGACAAUAAUUCAACUAUGAAUUUCAUUCAAAAUAACAGACAUUCUAGACUUUGU